UUUAGACACCAGAACAGACCAUGUUAAACAUCCUUAAAUAAAAGACAAAACUAAUUGGCCCCUGUUCAAAUGUCUUUGGUUGGGGCGACCGCGGGGAAAUAAAAAACCCCCAUGUGGACCGGGAGCACAUUACUCCUACAGCCCAGAGUCACAACUCCAAGUAACAGAAUCUCUGACCUACAAGAUCCGGCAAAUAGCCGAUCAACGGACCGAGUUACCCUAGGGAUAACAGCGCAAUCUUCUUUUAGAGCCCAUAUCGACAAGAGGGUUUACGACCUCGAUGUUGGAUCAGGACAUCCUAAUGGUGCAGCCGCUAUUAAGGGUUCGUUUGUUCAACGAUUAAAGUCCUA
rnacentral:rRNA from 1 species